rnacentral:pre_miRNA from 1 species
CUUGUACUCCCUCCGUCCGAAAAUACUUGUCAUUGAAAUGGAUGUAUCUAGAUGUAUUUUAAUUCUAGACACAUCCAUUUUGAUGACAAGUAAUUUCGGACGGAGGGAGUACUUG